rnacentral:rRNA from 1 species
CCUACGGGGGGGCUGCAGUGGGGAAUAUUGGACAAUGGGCGAAAGCCUGAUCCAGCCAUGCCGCGUGUGUGAAGAAGGCCUUCGGGUUGUAAAGCACUUUCAGUGGGGAAGAAAGCCUUGGGGCUAAUACCCUCGAGGAAGGACAUCACCCACAGAAGAAGCACCGGCUAACUCCGUGCCAGCAGCCGCGGUAAUACGGAGGGUGCGAGCGUUAAUCGGAAUUACUGGGCGUAAAGCGCGCGUAGGCGGUCUGAUAAGCCGGUUGUGAAAGCCCCGGGCUCAACCUGGGAACGGCAUCCGGAACUGUCAGGCUAGAGUGCAGGAGAGGAAGGUAGAAUUCCCGGUGUAGCGGUGAAAUGCGUAGUGAUCGGGAGGAAUACCAGUGGCGAAGGCGGCCUUCUGGACUGACACUGACGCUGAGGUGCGAAAGCGUGGGUAGCAAACAGGAUUAGAUACCCUGUAGUC